rnacentral:rRNA from 1 species
UACGAAGGGGGCUAGCGUUGUUCGGAAUCACUGGGCGUAAAGGGCGCGUAGGCGGCUUUAUAAGUCGGGGGUGAAAGCCUGUGGCUCAACCACAGAAUUGCCUUCGAUACUGUAGAGCUUGAGACCGGAAGAGGUAAGUGGAACUGCGAGUGUAGAGGUGAAAUUCGUAGAUAUUCGCAAGAACACCAGUGGCGAAGGCGGCUUACUGGUCCGGUUCUGACGCUGAGGCGCGAAAGCGUGGGAGCAAACAGG